rnacentral:lncRNA from 1 species
UUGGACCGCAGGCUCCGGCGCUGGCAAGUCAUGUAGCAAAAGCAGCAACCACCCCUCAGGAAUUAGAAGAAAAAAAAAAAAGGGAAAAGAAAAAAAGAAAGAAAGAGAAAAAAGAAACAACCACCGCCCCGGGGGUGAAGCUCCCUCGCUCCCAACUCUACUUCUUGGUCUCCCCCCCACCCCCCGCUCCCCCCCCUUCUGCUGCUUCCUCCUCCUCCUCCUCCUCUCGCAGCAGCAGUCACAGCAGCAGCAGCAGCAGCCCAAAGGGGGGGAGAGCCGGGCGGCGGGCGGGCGCGUCCCGGAGCGGCCGCGGCGAGGCUGGGGAGACAGCGAUCUAGGCGGCUAUAGCCACAAUUAAUUUUCCGAGCUACAGGCGCACACUAGGGCUGUAAAAAAAUUUUUGGUUUAACCUUUCCUACCGUUGGGCCAAUCAGAGCGGGCGGCGUGCGGGAGCGUCUCUCCCGCCGUCGACCAAUCGGCGGGGCCCGGGCCCCCCCCCCCCCCGCCCCCCCCCCGGCUCCCGCCCCCUCGGGCGCUCGCCUCCCCCUCUCCGCGGGCCUUGGCCUCGCGGCCGCGCGGACCCGCGUAGGGAUACGCCGGGAGCACGCUGCGCCGCGGCCCUUGCCGGCGCGCCCUCCACCGCGCGGGGCUGCGGCCCCGCAAUCCCCCUUCUAGGGGCACGUCUCUCCCGUUUCCGGCUUCCUUCUCCCUGUAUUGGGUCAUUUUCGUUUCAGCGUCAAUAUUUGUCCUUAUUGAUUAAAGUUGGUAUCCAAUUUUAUUUUUCCCAGCGGGGGCGGCGGCGGUGGCGAGCAGAGUGGGAGUGCAGGGACAGGAUGCGAGGAGAGGGCAGGAAAUGGAGGAGGCGAGGCACUACUUUCCCGAGGCGGCCCUGCAGGCCCGGCUCCGGCAUUGCUGAGCCCGUAGGAAAAUUGUGCCCCGUAUGCACAGGGAGUCCCUGACCCCGUGACGUUUGGGAGUGUGCAGAACCCAGGCAGAGGCAUCCAGGUAUUUCCAAAGAUCCUGUGACGAGAGAGGUCUGCCCUUGCUCGAGCCAACUAGAGUGUAAUCCCUUCCUAACAGCAGGUAAUGGUGCUAACAUUUAGUGAUUGUAAGUUACUCUUUAGAGUGUUGUAUCCUUGUUCUGCGGGUUUUGGUUACAGGUUAUACGAUUAGGUUUGCGAGAACAGUAGUGAACUAAACUUCUCAGUAAGAGGUCUUCACACCAGGGAAGUGUUACUUUUCUGCAGCAGCCCUGCCUCGUCACUCAUUAGGGAGCUGCAGGUUGUCAAGCGGCUGCUCUCAGUGCGCGCACGCACCCUGAGUAUCCCCGGGGGCGCGCACAUGUGUAUAUGUGUGCGCGCGCACACACAUACACACACAUACACACACCCCGCACUAAAACUAAAUUAAGAAGCCGAUGAUUAAGACAAGCGUCUACUAGGCCUGUCAUUUCAGCAUCCUUCCAUCAUAACAUUGUGGCACUGGCAAUUUUGCUUGAGAACCUCAAGAAAAAAAAAUCUAUGGGAGAGUCUCGCCUUUGAGAGUCGAAAUGUUUAACUUGUAUAAGGUAGGGAACCAUUUCAGAAGCAAGGAAGUCCAAGGUAAAAAAAAUAAUAAAAAAUAAAAGAAAGGAAAGAAAGAACA